rnacentral:SRP_RNA from 10 species
GCCGAUGUGGUGGCAGGCACCUGCAGUCCCAGCUACUUGGGAGGCUGAAGUAGGAGGAUCGCUUGAGCCCAGGAGUUUUGAGGUGUAGUGAGCUAUGCCCACUGGGUGUCCACACUAAGUCGACAUCAACAUGGUGAUCUCCCAGGAGCAGAGGACUACCAGGUUGCCUCAGGAGAGGUAAACUGGCCCAGGGUGGAAACACAGCAGGUCAGAACUCCCAUGCUGAUCAGUAGUGAGAUGUUGUCUGUGAAUAGCCACUGCAAUUCUGCCUGCACAACGCAGGGAGACCCCGUUU